AGUGAACGCUGGCGGUAGGCCUAACACAUGCAAGUCGAACGGCAGCACAGUAAGAGCUUGCUCUUACGGGUGGCGAGUGGCGGACGGGUGAGGAAUACAUCGGAAUCUACUUUUUCGUGGGGGAUAACGUAGGGAAACUUACGCUAAUACCGCAUACGACCUACGGGUGAAAGCAGGGGAUCUUCGGACCUUGCGCGAUUGAAUGAGCCGAUGUCGGAUUAGCUAGUUGGCGGGGUAAAGGCCCACCAAGGCGACGAUCCGUAGCUGGUCUGAGAGGAUGAACAGCCAAAAUGGAACUGAGACACGGGCCAGACCCCUACGGGAGGCAGCAGGGGGGAAUAUUGGAAAAGGGGGGAAAGCCUGAUCCAGCCAUACCGGGUGGGGGAAGAAGGCCUUCGGGUUGUAAAGCCUUUUUGUGGGGAAAAAAAAGCAGCAGGUUAAUACCCCGCUGUUCUGACGGUACCCAAAAAAUAAACACCGGCUAACUUCGU
rnacentral:rRNA from 1 species